AAGUCGUAACAAGGUUUCCGUAGGUGAACCUGCGGAAGGAUCAUUGACAAAUCAAAAACAGUUGCUCUUAGAGGCUUUAAACCCCUUUAAGAGUUAACAUAAUAACCUGUGAAUCGCGAAGCUUGCUUCGUUAUUUGUUCAUGUAAGACUGGGUAAGGAGAGCUUAACACUCUCUUUAGUCAGACACUGCCUGCUCAAACAAAAACGUCUAACAUAAUGUCUUAAACAAAAACAAUAAAAGUUACAACUUUUAGCAAUGGAUCUCUUGGCUUCU
rnacentral:misc_RNA from 1 species